UGAGGAAUAUUGGUCAAUGGUCGGGAGACUGAACCAGCCAAGCCGCGUGAGGGAUGAAGGUACAGAGUAUCGUAAACCUCUUUUGUCAGGGAACAAAAGGCGCCACGCGUGGCGCUCCGAGUGUACCUGAAGAAAAGCAUCGGCUAACUCCGUGCCAGCAGCCGCGGUAAUACGGAGGAUGCGAGCGUUAUCCGGAUUUAUUGGGUUUAAAGGGUGCGUAGGCGGCGAGUUAAGUCAGCGGUAAAAGCCCGGGCUGCAACCCGCCCGGCCCGUCGUAAACUGGCUUGCUUGAGUUGGAGAGAAGUAGGCGGAAUGCGCGGUGUAGCGGUGAAAUGCUUAGAUAUCGCGCAGAACUCCGAUUGCGAAGGCAGCCUACCGGCUCCAGACUGACGCUGAGGCACGAAAGCGUGGGUAUCGAACAGGAUUAGAUACC
rnacentral:rRNA from 1 species